rnacentral:rRNA from 1 species
UACGGGGGGGGGCAAGCGUUGUUCGGAUUUACUGGCGUAAAGGGCGCGUAGGCGUCAGCACAAGUCAGUUGUGAAAUCUCCGGGCUUAACUCGGAAAGGUCAACUGAUACUGUGCGACUAGAGUGCGGAAGGGGCAACUGGAAUUCUCGGUGUAGCGGUGAAAUGCGUAGAUAUCGAGAGGAACACCUGCGGCGAAGGCGGGUUGCUGGGCCGACACUGACGCUGAUGCGCGAAAGCCAGGGGAGCGAACGGG